rnacentral:rRNA from 1 species
CUAAGGUAGCGAAAUUCCUUGUCGGGUAAGUUCCGACCUGCACGAAUGGCGUAAUGAUGGCCAGGCUGUCUCCACCCGAGACUCAGUGAAAUUGAACUCGCUGUGAAGAUGCAGUGUACCCGCGGCAAGACGGAAAGACCCCGUGAACCUUUACUAUAGCUUGACACUGAACAUUGAGCCUUGAUGUGUAGGAUAGGUGGGAGGCUUUGAAGUGUGGACGCCAGUCUGCAUGGAGCCGACCUUGAAAUACCACCCUUUAAUGUUUGAUGUUCUAACGUUGACCCGUAAUCCGGGUUGCGGACAGUGUCUGGUGGGUAGUUUGACUGGGGCGGUCUCCUCCUAAAGAGUAACGGAGGAGCACGAAGGUUGGCUAAUCCUGGUCGGACAUCAGGAGGUUAGUGCAAUGGCAUAAGCCAGCUUGACUGCGAGCGUGACGGCGCGAGCAGGUGCGAAAGCAGGUCAUAGUGAUCCGGUGGUUCUGAAUGGAAGGGCCAUCGCUCAACGGAUAAAAGGUACUCCGGGGAUAACAGGCUGAUACCGCCCAAGAGUUCAUAUCGACGGCGGUGUUUGGCACCUCGAUGUCGGCUCAUCACAUCCUGGGGCUGAAGUAGGUCCCAAGGGUAUGGCUGUUCGCCAUUUAAAGUGGUACGCGAGCUGGGUUUAGAACGUCGUGAGACAGUUCGGUCCCUAUCUGCCGUGGGCGCUGGAGAACUGAGGGGGGCUGCUCCUAGUACGAGAGGACCGGAGUGGACGCAUCACUGGUGUUCGGGUUGUCAUGCCAAUGGCACUGCCCGGUAGCUAAAUGCGGAAGAGAUAAGUGCUGAAAGCAUCUAAGCACGAAACUUGCCCCGAGAUGAGUUCUCCCUGACUCCUUGAGAGUCCUGAAGGAACGUUGAAGACGACGACGUUGAUAGGCCGGGUGUGUAAGCGCAGCGAUGCGUUGAGCUAACCGGUACUAAUGAACCGUGAGGCUUAACCUU